rnacentral:rRNA from 1 species
ACAACCACCCCCCCGAACAAUAACUCCGCUCCUACCUCUGUAAAUCCACAACUGUUGCUUCGGCGGGUAGGCCGUCCCUGAAAAGAGGGCUCCCGGCCCGGACCGGACCCCCUGUGGGGUGGACUCGGCGCCCGCCGGAGGAUAACCAAACGCUAUUUUAACGACGUUUCUUCUGAGUGGCAUAAGCAAAAUAAUCAAAACUUUUAACAACGGAUCUCUUGGUUCUGGCAUCGAUGAAGAACGCAGCGAAAUGCGAUAAGUAAUGUGAAUUGCAGAAUUCAGUGAAUCAUCGAAUCUUUGAACGCACAUUGCGCCCGCCAGCAUUCUGGCGGGCAUGCCUGUUCGAGCGUCAUUUCAACCCUCAAGCUCUGCUUGGUGUUGGGGCUCUACGGUCGACGUAGGCCCUCAAAGGUAGUGGCGGACCCUCCCGGAGCCUCCUUUGCGUAGUAACAUUUCGUCUCGCACUGGGAUCCGGAGGGACUCUUGCCGUAAAACCCCCCAAUUUUUCAAGGUUGACCUCGGAUCAGGUAGGAAUACCCGCUGAACUUAAGCAUAUCAAUAAGCGGAGGAA